rnacentral:rRNA from 1 species
GACGCACGCUGGCGGCUUGCUUACCACAUGCAAGUCGAACGCAGUUGCGCACGGGUGCGUACUACGUGGGUAACCUGCCCUCCUUUUUGGGAUCAGCCUUGUAAACGGGGUCUAAUACCGACUAACGGUGGCUGGGCUCGCGGCCUAUCAGCUUGUUGGUGGGGUGAUGGCCUACAAAGGCGGUGCCGGGUAGCCGGCCUGAGAGGGAGACCGGCCACGGAGGGACUGGGUAACGGCCCAGACUCCUACGGGAGGCAGCAGUGGGGGAUAUUGCAGAAUGGGCGAAUGACUAAUGAGGCGACGACGAGUGGGGGAUGAGGGAUUUCGGGUUGGAAAGCUCUGACAGUGACGAAGGGGUAGAAGGAGAAGAAGCACCGGCUAACUACGUGCCAGCAGCCGCGGUAAUAC